AAACUGAUCGUCUUCUCCACCCCCAAUAAAAAAAAAAAAUCCUCUUUUACAGCAAGCCAGCCAAGAAAAAACCUUUGCUGAUCAAAACCUCAAAAUUUAAAAUGUUUGGUCGCAACAGAUUCCUCUCGUUUCCUACCGUAAUUGGAGCAGUCUUGAUCGGGGUCGUCUCAGGGAAGGCAAUAUUUGGACCCCCACUUGAAGAGUACUGGAGAAAGAAGCUCGAGGAGGAGGCAACUGCAAAGGAAAAUGGUGGAACGUCAACUUAAAGCAGAUAUGAAUGAAUUUCUUCAACUUUGGCCAUUUCAUAGAAGGCGCAUAGUCGCGGAAGUCAUUGAUUCAUUUCAUUUAUUUUCUUUUUGAACCAAAGACAACAACCAAUGCAUUUUAUGGUGUCCACAAUCACUCAUGUUAACCCCAUACUUAAGGCAACUCAUACGGUGGACCCCUCAUAAGCUUCCACCGGUGAAACACUCAGUUUGAACUGUUGGAUUAAAUUUUAAACGGUUAGAUUA